UACGAGGGGGGCGAGCGUUGUUCGGAAUUAUUGGGCGUAAAGGGUGCGUAGGCGGUUUGGUAAGUCUGAUGUGAAAUCUAUGGGCUCAACUCAUAGUCUGCAUCGGAAACUGCCGGGCUUGAGUGUGGGAGAGGUGAGUGGAAUUCCUGGUGUAGCGGUGAAAUGCGUAGAGACCCGGAGGAACACCAGUGGCGAAGGCGGCGUCCUGGCCUGCGACUGACGCUGUGGCGCGAAAGCUAGGGGAGCGAACGGG
rnacentral:rRNA from 1 species